rnacentral:miRNA from 1 species
AGGCAGGAGAAUUGCUUGAACCCAGGAAGUGGAGGUUGCAGUGAGCCGAGAUCGUGCCACUGCACUCCAGCCUGGUGACAGAGCUAGACUCCAUCUCA